rnacentral:rRNA from 1 species
UAUGUGAUCGUCUCUCGCAUAUCAAUAAGCGGAGGAAAAGAAACUAACAAGGAUUCCCCUAGUAACGGCGAGUGAAGCGGGAAGAGCUCAAAUUUGAAAUCUUAAAGGGUUUCCCUUUACGAAUUGUAGUUUAAAGAAGUGUUUUCUGUUGAGGUUUUGGUAAAAGUUCUUUGGAAUAGGACAUCAUAGAGGGUGAGAAUCCCGUAUUUGACCUUUACUUUCAACUUUGUGAUACACUUUCAAAGAGUCGGAUUGUUUGGGAAUGCAGUCCAAAAUGGGUGGUAAAUUUCAUCUAAAGCUAAAUAUUGGCGAGAGACCGAUAGCGAACAAGUACCGUGAGGGAAAGAUGAAAAGAACUCUGAAAAAAGAGUUAAACAGUACGUGAAAUUGUCAAAAGGGAAGCGUUUGACACCAGUGUUGUUUUUCUGAAAAUCAAUUAAAGAACUGUUUAUGCUAAGCUGUUUAGACUUUAUCAGCUAUCUGCUUUAGUUUUGAGCUUUUCUUUAAUGCACUUUUCAGUUAACAAGUCAACAUCAAUUUCUUUUGCUGUAAAAAAGCUUGAGGAAGGUGGCUUGAGAUUCGUCUUAAGUGUUUAUAGCCUCUUGCCUAUGCAGUCGGAGAGAUUGAGGUCUGCAGCGUAGAUCCUUCGGGGCUAAAUGCAUUUGUGCUAAGUUAUAGCAUUUUAUAGACAACUUGUUGACUAUGAUUUGUCUUGUAGCUUACUCGCUUAUGUUAUUUUACCUACGCUUAGGAUGUUGACACACGCGCGUGCUCG